rnacentral:rRNA from 1 species
CAACUCGCCUACAUGAAGUCGGAAUUGCUAGUAAUCGCGGAUCAGCAUGCCGCGGUGAAUACGUUCCCGGGCCUUGUACACACCGCCCGUCACACCAUGGGAGUCGGUAACACCCGAAGCCUGUAGUCUAACCGCAAGGAGGACGCAGUCGAAGGUGGGAUUGAUGACUGGGGUGAAGUCGUAACAAGGUACC